rnacentral:rRNA from 1 species
UACGGAGGGUGCAAGCGUUGUUCGGAAUCACUGGGCGUAAAGGGCGUGUAGGCGGUCCGCUAAGUCUGAUGUGAAAGCCCGGGGCUCACCCCCGGAAGGGCAUUGGAAACUGGCGGACUCGAGUCCCGGAGAGGAAGGUGGAAUUCCUGGUGUAGCGGUGAAAUGCGUAGAUAUCAGGAGGAAUACCGGUGGCGAAGGCGGCCUUCUGGACCGGCAUUGACGCUGAGGCGCGAAAGCCAGGGGAGCAAACGGG